rnacentral:rRNA from 1 species
CUCUGUGACUCCUACGGGAGGCAGCAGUGGGGGAAUAUUUGCACAAUGGGCCGCAAGCCUGAUGCAGCCAUGCCGUCGUGUGUGAAGAAGGCCUUCGGGUUGUAAAGCACUUUCAGUUGUGAGGAAGGUGGUGUCGUUAAUAGCGGCAUCACUUUGACGUUAGCAACAGAAGAAGCACCGGCUAACUCCGUGCCAGCAGCCGCGGUAAUACGGAGGGUGCGAGCGUUAAUCGGAAUUACUGGGCGUAAAGCGCAUGCAGGCGGCCUGUUAAGUCAGAUGUGAAAGCCCGGGGCUUAACCUCGGAAUUGCAUUUGAAACUGGCAGGCUAGAGUCUUGUAGAGGGGGUAGAAUUUCAGGUGUAGCGGUGAAAUGCGUAGAGAUCUGAAGGAAUACCGGUGGCGAAGGCGGCCCCCUGGACAGAUACUGACACUCAGGUACUGCGAAAGCGUGGGGAGCCAAACAGGAUUAGAUACCCUGUAG